rnacentral:lncRNA from 1 species
AUGGUUUCAGGAUGAUUGAAGCACAUUACAUUUAUUGUGCACUUUAUUUCUAUUAUUAUGGCAUUGUAAUAUAUAAUGAAAUAAUUAGACACCUCACCAUAAUGUAGAAUCAGUGGGAGUCCUGAGCUUGUUUUCCUGCAACUAGAUGGUCCCCCGUCUAGGGGUGAUGGGAGACAGUGACAGAUCAUCAGGCAUUAGAUGCUCAUAAGGAGCAUACAACCUAGGCCCCUUGCAUGCACAGUUCACAAUAGUGUUCUCACUCCUAUGAGAAUCUAAUGCUGCCACUGACCUGAUAGCGGGCAGAUUUCAGGUGGUAAUGCAAGCAGUGAGAAGCAGCUGUAAACACAGAUGAAGCUUCUCUGGCUCACCCGUCGCUCACCUCCCGCUGUGCAGCCCAGUUUGUAACAGGCCAUGGACCCGUACCAGUCCGUGGCCUGGGGGUUGGAGACCCCUGUAGUAGAAGAGUUCAUAGAUGAUCUUGAGAGAGAAACUCUAGUGUGGCAGGAGAAGUUGAGCCAGGUUGGAGUGGAUGCUGGAUGGUGGAGUGGGUGGGGUGUGUGCGGGUAGAGACUGCAAAUACAGAAAAUGCCAUCGAGAAGUUCCAUUUGGAAGGGGAGGAGAGAAAAACUGUGGGACCUAGUGAAGGAUGUAGGAGAAAGUUGUUAUCAUUGUUUUAGCAAUAGGAGAAUUGUGUGCAUGUUUUUGGUGCUAAUGGAAAGGACCCGAGAUAAAAUAAUUGAGGGAAGAGAUGGGAGCCAGGGCACGAUAGAGCCUUCAUUAAGAGGGAUGCCCUUUCUAAGAGGAGGAAAAAUGGAUGCAAGCAUAGUUGUCAUGGUUUUGAUAGAGAACCUCAUGUGGCUGUCCAUCAAACAUCACUUGAGUCAUAGGUGUCUAGAACACUAUUUUGCACCUUAGAAAUAUUUGAAUAGACACCUUAGAAAUCUUUGCUGAGUAAGACAGAUUCCUCGCAUAGCUGCAAGAAGCUUAGCCAAACCCAUUUCUAAAUUAAAACUACCAGCAAAGAGGUACUUGAGUAAUAGGCACAGGGUGCUCAGCUCUGGGCUAAUAGCAUUGAAUGUCCUGAUUUUUAGAAUGUUCUGUGCUUAACUUCUCAGGCAACACAGGCUGAAGUAUAAGAGUUGAAGGGAUUUAGAAUAAGUCAUUGUUUCAUUAAAAAUUAUUUUUGGCUGAAGGAGAAAUAAGAUUUGGAUGGGGACACAGCUAAAUCAUAUCAUAUACCAUCUUAAUUGGGGAUGGUAUUUUUUUUUUU